CAGUUCGACCUCCUGAGGCAGUCCUACCUGGACGUUGCCGCCGCCGUGGACAAGGAGCUCUGCCGGAGCCGGCGCCUCGACGCCGUCAACAGCGGCUGCACGGCUCUGUCCAUCGUGAAGCAGGGCGACCUGGUGGUGGUCGCGAACGUCGGCGACUCGCGGGCCGUCCUUGCGACAACAUCGGACGACGGGGACGUCACGGCCGUCCAGCUCACCGUCGACUUCAAGCCCGACUUACCCCGUAAGUCGUCAUGA
rnacentral:rRNA from 1 species